rnacentral:rRNA from 1 species
AUACGGAGGGUGCAAGCGUUAUCCGGAAUCAUUGGGUUUAAAGGGUCCGCAGGCGGACGUAUAAGUCAGUGGUGAAAUCCUGCAGCUUAACUGCAGAACUGCCAUUGAUACUGUACGUCUUGAAUUCGGUCGAAGUGGGCGGAAUGUGUAGUGUAGCGGUGAAAUGCAUAGAUAUUACACAGAACACCGAUAGCGAAGGCAGCUCACUAGGCCUGGAUUGACGCUCAGGGACGAAAGCGUGGGGAUCAAACAGGAUUAGAUACCCUGGUAGUCCACGCUGUAAACGAUGAUUACUCGUUUUCGGCGAUAUACAGUCGGAGACUAAGCGAAAGUGAUAAGUAAUCCACCUGGGGAGUACGAUCGCAAGGUUGAAACUCAAAGGAAUUGACGGGGGCCCGCACAAGCGGUGGAGCAUGUGGUUUAAUUCGAUGAUACGCGAGGAACCUUACCAGGGCUUAAAUGCAGAGCGAAUAGUUUGGAAACAGACUAGCCUUCGGGCGAUCU